rfam:Triticum aestivum genome assembly, contig: Triticum_aestivum_CS42_TGACv1_scaffold_082070_1DS
GAAUGCGAUCAUACCAGCACUGAAGCACCGGAUCCCAUCAGAACUCCGAAGUUAAGCAUGCUUGGGGCGAGAAUAGUACUAGGAUGGGUGACCUCCUGGGAAGUCCGCGUGUUGCAUUCC